GACGAACGCUGGCGGCGUGCCUAACACAUGCAAGUCGAACGAUGAAGAAGAGAAACGCGAACUUCGGUUCAAAUUUCACUUCGGAUUAGUGGCAGACGGGUGAGUAACGCGUGAGCAACCUACCUCUUACAAAGGGAUAGCCUCGGGAAACCGUGAUUAAUACCAUAUGACACAUUCAUAAGGCAUCUUAAGAAUGUUAAAGCUACGGCGGUAAGAGAUGGGCUCGCGUCCCAUUAGCUAGUUGGUGAGGUAACGGCCCACCAAGGCGACGAUGGGUAACCGGCCUGAGAGGGUGAACGGUCACAUUGGAACUGAGACACGGUCCAAACUCCUACGGGAGGCAGCAGUGGGGAAUAUUGCACAAUGGAGGGAACUCUGAUGCAGCGACGCCGCGUGAGCGAUGAAGGAAUUCGUUUCGUAAAGCUCUGUUCUAUGGGAAGAAAAGGACUGUACCAUAGGAGAAAGCCCCGGCUAAAUACGUG
rnacentral:rRNA from 1 species